UACAGAGGUCCCGAGCGUUGUUCGGAUUCAUUGGGCGUAAAGGGUGCGUAGGCGGCUUUCUAAGUCCGGUGUGAAAUCCUGGGGCUCAACCCUGGAACUGCAUUGGAUACUGGGAGGCUAGAGUACUGGAGAGGAAACUGGAAUUUACGGUGUAGCAGUGAAAUGCGUAGAGAUCGUAAGGAACACCAGUGGCGAAGGCGGCUCACUGGCCCGGUACUGACGCUGAGGCACGAAAGCGUGGGGAGCAAACAGG
rnacentral:rRNA from 1 species